rnacentral:lncRNA from 1 species
UCUUUCUUCUUCUUUUUUCUUUUUCUCUCUUUUUUUUUUAUGCCCCAGUUGGCUGUUCUGCUGAUUCUCGAGAUGCAGCUGAGUGAUCUCUUUUCUUGCUCAAGAAGUCGGGAAAUACCGUCAGGAAUCCCUUCAACAUCAUCUUCUUCCGCUUCGAAUACAGGGAAUUCAAAAUUGGGAGAUGACGUCCGAUCAUUAUGUUCAAUGGGUUUGAG